GUUGCAUGUGAAUAUGCAGAAUCUGUAUGAAAGGAGCUUUCUGGGUUUUGUUUGUGGUAUAUUUGGUACUAUUGACACAAUUAUUUUGUGCAAGCAUUGGUUACACGCAAUCAGUCCAUGACAGGAUGUGUACUAGUAAAACUAAGUUGAAGUUUUAGGUGCCUACUAGCAUUUUCAAAUGUGUUUGCGUCUCUAAAUGGGUGAAAAAUGAACCUAAGUGCCUGAAGCCUGCGUUCUAUUUAAUGGCCAGUAGGAGGCAACAGCACAGACACACACAAAAAAGUUUGAUUGUGUGGAAAUCUAUGAGAAAAUGAUCUUUUGAUUUCCUUGAUCUGUGACCUCAGUAAACACUUCCCUGAGGAGUUUAUGUUACCAGUUGAAAGUGUCAAGUCUUAUUCGUGAUAAAAUGAUGUUUGUUUGUUUGUUUUUCUUAAAUUAAGGCCCAAAAGCAUGCAGGAAAAAGUGGGAAAACUUUGAGGGGCCUGCUUUUUAAUUAACAAGUUGCAUAUAUUUGACCAGCUGCUGGGGACACCUUCAUGUUUACUGCACAAACACGAGAAUGGUAUGUUAUUUUACACAGAUAACUCCCGGGCGAAUAGAUGACUAAACCUGUUUCCAGAGAUGCCACAAUGUUGUUUUAAGCAUCUUGAAAGAUUCCUUAGAACACAGUUCAAGUGAACAUUCAUUUACAAGCUGAAAAAAAAAUUGAUUUCAUUCCAGCAUUUUUUGCUUUGGGUUUUUUUUUUUGUUUGUUUGUUUGUUUGUUUUUUGUGCAUGUGUGUAAUCAUCUCUUGUUCUUUUCAGUGAUGGCACGGAAACCUGUCAUAGCCAUUGCUUCUACGUAACUGUUGUUGUGAAGAAGCUCAGACAGCAUGAUGAACGUCAGCCCACCAAAGAAAUCUUCUGCUGUUCAUUGCUGCUUCAGAUUGUCAGCCCUGAAGGACUGCUAACACUGUCUACCCUCUGGAUUUGUAAGGAGUAAUUAGCAUUGAUAAAUAUUCAUCGCAGAUGUGAAAUGAUUUGUUUCAUAAUCUUCUUUGAGCUGUUUGAUUUUCUUUGAUUAAAUGGUUAGCUUGAGUGAUCGUUUUCAGCAGAAUUUGAGCAGCUAGGUGAAGAAAUCCCCAAGAAGCAGCUCUCUUUCCCUCCUCCUUCUCUCCACGCCAUGAAAACUUCACCCUUUAUUUCCAGGCAAACCUCCAUGCAGGUUUGAGCUGUUCUCUUAGAUAUACAGCCAGGCGCGGUAAAGAAUAAUAACAUGUCAAAGACGCUCACACCACCACAGACCACAGAAAAUGGAACACGCCUCAGGGUGGAUAAACGCUUCAAGAUUUCUCGUACUUCUCUUGAAUUUAAUAAGUGCCCCAAACCCCCUGCCUACUGCUCAGGAUCAGAGGACAAAAAGAGGAGAGAAAGAAAACAGUACUGAGACACUAUUUUCAUGUUGACCUUGCUAGAAGAUAGCAGUACGGUUUUGUUAUUUCAGCUACUAUGAAAUAUAUCCCAUGGCUGCUUGAGACCACCGAUGUAAAAACUUAAAUUGCAUUUGUAGGUUUUUUGUUUGUUUUUUUGUUCCUGAUGAAUCUCCUGGGACAUGGACAGUAAAAAGAAAGAUUUGCUCAGAUGGAAAAUCACACAGUUGUUCGUGCUGAUGUUGAUUAGAAAAUCAAUUCCCAGGAAUUCCCAGCCCAGCAGAACUAAUAUGGCUUUAAUCUAUUGCUUGGUGUACUACAGGGAUUACAGUGGUGCUGCAGGACCAGGAUUUAGUCUUGAAGUUAUGUGCAUGUCAAUUUGCAAAUGCAUCACAGGAAUGUAUUUACUGG
ensembl:lncRNA